GUACGGUAAUGUCAUGAACUGGUGGGAAAUUCCUUGAUUAUGCCAAUAUCGCCUAGGGAUAGGGGUAGGACGGUCAAUUGUAUUUGCUUCACGCAUUGCAUUAUUAGUUACUAGGGGAGGCUAGGGAUAGCAAGCCAAUAAUUAGUAAUAGGCUCUUUUCACCAAGGAUUUGGGUUAAGAGUAAUUAAGAAAGUAUGCAUGGCAAUUAGAUAAAUAAGUGAAUUAAAUAAGAAGAGUAGAUAUAUAAGAGUGGAUAAGAUGAAAUUGUAAAUCCCAACAACAUCAUUCAUCCAUAGUUCUCAAAACCAAUUGAAUCAAUUGCAUUGCAUGUUUACUUUUGUUCUUUUCAUAC
rnacentral:lncRNA from 1 species